UAGAAAUAACCUUGUAAGUCACUCUGGAUAAGAGUGUCGGCUAAAUGCCGUAAA
rfam:Astyanax mexicanus Tnplaced_Scaffold_2467, whole genome shotgun sequence.